AAAACAACCCUUUUGCUGGCAUUAGCUGGGAAGUUGGACCCAAGCUUGAAGAAGACAUCUGCAUAUAUUAUCCAAAAUGAUGUUCAUAUGGGAGAAUUGACAGUCAAAGAAACUCUAGACUUUUCGGCAAGGUACCAAGGGGUUGGGACGUGAUAUGAACUUUGUGGGCUUGCUAGAAGAGAAAAGGAGGCUGGGAUAUUUUCAGAGCCAGAAGUAGACAUUUUCAUGAAUGUUACUUCAAUGGGAGGAGUUGAGAGUAGUCUCAUUACUGACUAUACUCUCAGAAGGGCAGCAUCUUCAUGAAUAUCAAAGUUAUUGAUAAAAUUAAAUGCUACUGGGGCAUUCAGGAAGACUGCAAGUUGAGAGACUUAGUGGUGAAAGAUGGAUUAACAAUGUUAUUGUUAAUGGGAAGCAGAAGCAGCCCAUCAUUAGUGAUGAUUCCAACGAAGCUAUGAAGCA